rnacentral:rRNA from 1 species
UACGUAGGUGGCAAGCGUUGUCCGGAUUUACUGGGCGUAAAGAGCGCGCAGGCGGUCGUUCAAGUCGCGUGUGAAAGCCCCCGGCUCAACUGGGGAGGGUCACGCGAUACUGAUCGACUCGAAGGCAGGAGAGGGUAGUGGAAUUCCCGGUGUAGUGGUGAAAUGCGUAGAUAUCGGGAGGAACACCCAGUGGCGAAGGCGACUACCUGGCCUGUUCUUGACGCUGAGGCGCGAAAGCUAGGGGAGCAAACGGG